rnacentral:rRNA from 1 species
AUUGAACGCUGGCGGCAGGCUUAACACAUGCAAGUCGAACGAUGAAACUCUAGCUUGCUAGAGAAGAUUAGUGGCGGACGGGUGAGUAACAUUUAGGAAUCUGCCUAGUAGUGGGGGAUAGCUCGGGGAAACUCGAAUUAAUACCGCAUACGACCUACGGGUGAAAGGGGGCGCAAGCUCUUGCUAUUAGAUGAGCCUAAAUCAGAUUAGCUAGUUGGUGGGGUAAAGGCCCACCAAGGCGACGAUCUGUAACUGGUCUGAGAGGAUGAUCAGUCACACCGGAACUGAGACACGGUCCGGACUCCUACGGGAGGCAGCAGUGGGGAAUAUUGGACAAUGGGGGCAACCCUGAUCCAGCCGUGCCGCGUGUGUGAAGAAGGCCUUUUGGUUGUAAAGCACUUUAAGCAGGGAGGAGAGGCUAAUGGUUAAUACCCAUUAGAUUAGACGUUACCUGCAGAAUAAGCACCGGCUAACUCUGUGCCAGCAGCCGCGGUAAUACAGAGGGUGCGAGCGUUAAUCGGAAUUACUGGGCGUAAAGCGAGUGUAGGUGGCUCAUUAAGUCACAUGUGAAAUCCCCGGGCUUAACCUGGGAACUGCAUGUGAUACUGGUGGUGCUAGAAUAUGUGAGAGGGAAGUAGAAUUCCAGGUGUAGCGGUGAAAUGCGUAGAGAUCUGGAGGAAUACCGAUGGCGAAGGCAGCUUCCUGGCAUAAUAUUGACACUGAGAUUCGAAAGCGUGGGUAGCAAACAGGAUUAGAUACCCUGGUAGUCCACGCCGUAAACGAUGUCUACUAGCCGUUGGGGUCCUUGAGACUUUAGUGGCGCAGUUAACGCGAUAAGUAGACCGCCUGGGGAGUACGGCCGCAAGGUUAAAACUCAAAUGAAUUGACGGGGGCCCGCACAAGCGGUGGAGCAUGUGGUUUAAUUCGAUGCAACGCGAAGAACCUUACCUGGUCUUGACAUAGUGAGAAUCUUUCAGAGAUGAGAGAGUGCCUUCGGGAAUUCACAUACAGGUGCUGCAUGGCUGUCGUCAGCUCGUGUCGUGAGAUGUUGGGUUAAGUCCCGCAACGAGCGCAACCCUUUUCCUUAUUUGCCAGCGGGUUAAGCCGGGAACUUUAAGGAUACUGCCAGUGACAAACUGGAGGAAGGCGGGGACGACGUCAAGUCAUCAUGGCCCUUACGACCAGGGCUACACACGUGCUACAAUGGUAGGUACAGAGGGUUGCUACACAGCGAUGUGAUGCUAAUCUCAAAAAGCCUAUCGUAGUCCGGAUUGGAGUCUGCAACUCGACUCCAUGAAGUCGGAAUCGCUAGUAAUCGCAGAUCAGAAUGCUGCGGUGAAUACGUUCCCGGGCCU